rnacentral:rRNA from 1 species
UAGGGAAUCUUCGGCAAUGGACGAAAGUCUGACUGAGCAACGCCGCGUGAGUGAAGAAGGUUUUCGGAUCGUAAAACUCUGUUGUUAGAGAAGAACAAGGACGUUAGUAACUGAACGUCCCCUGACGGUAUCUAACCAGAAAGCCACGGCUAACUACGUGCCAGCAGCCGCGGUAAUACGUAGGUGGCAAGCGUUGUCCGGAUUUAUUGGGCGUAAAGCGAGCGCAGGCGGUUUCUUAAGUCUGAUGUGAAAGCCCCCGGCUCAACCGGGGAGGGUCAUUGGAAACUGGGAGACUUGAGUGCAGAAGGGGAGAGUGGAAUUCCAUGUGUAGCGGUGAAAUGCGUAGAUAUAUGGAGGAACACCAGUGGCGAAGGCGGCUCUCUGGUCUGUAACUGACGCUGAGGCUCGAAAGCGUGGGGAGCAAACAGG